ACGAAACUGAUGAUCAAAACAAACUUGAAGAUAUACUCAAAUGAUUGUAUACACAUACACUAAUGUAAAACACCCUGACACACACAAUGACGUUGAAAAGACAUAUGAAAAGCAAUGGUGGAAGACAGCAAAACUUUGUGCCCGAAUUCGACCAGCGCAAAAUAUUGUGGAUUAUCCGACGCACAAACCGCCAAACUUAGUCAGACCAAGUCGAAAAACAGACCAUUUUUUCAUAUGACAAUUUCACGUUAUGCAAAA